rnacentral:rRNA from 1 species
UACGGAAGGCAGCAGUGGGGAAUAUUGCACAAUGGGCGCAAGCCUGAUGCAGCCAUGCCGCGUGUAUGAAGAAGGCCUUCGGGUUGUAAAGUACUUUCAGCGGGGAGGAAGGCGAUGUGGUUAAUAACCGCGUCGAUUGACGUUACCCGCAGAAGAAGCACCGGCUAACUCCGUGCCAGCAGCCGCGGUAAUACGGAGGGUGCAAGCGUUAAUCGGAAUUACUGGGCGUAAAGCGCACGCAGGCGGUCUGUUAAGUCAGAUGUGAAAUCCCCGGGCUUAACCUGGGAACUGCAUUUUGAAACUGGCAGGCUUGAGUCUCGUAGAGGGGGUAGAAUUCCAGGUGUAGCGGUGAAAUGCGUAGAGAUCUGGAGGGAAUACCGGGUGGCGAAGGCGGCCCCUGGGACGAAGACUGACGCUCAGGUGCGAAAGCGUGGGGAGCAAACAGGGAUUAGAUACC